rnacentral:lncRNA from 1 species
CGCCCCGUAAUAAAAAUAGGGGUGUACUAUAAAAGAUACGGUCAGCAUCGGCGGCCAAAAGUUCAGUACCAGGAGGGGCUACUGUCCGGUCGGGACCAGGUACUACUCCAGUAAGAGGAACCCCCUCAGCCGGGGGAGGCCCCUCCGGGGUCGAGGCAUCUUCAAAACUAGAACCCGAAUAAGAAGUAUUCUCAUACUGGCUGCCUUCGUCACUGUCACUAGCCACGCCACCGCCACCGC